rnacentral:rRNA from 1 species
UACGGAAGGCAGCAGUGGGGAAUAUUGCACAAUGGGCGCAAGCCUGAUGCAGCCAUGCCGCGUGUAUGAAGAAGGCCUUCGGGUUGUAAAGUACUUUCAGUCGUGAGGAAGGUGUUAAGGUUAAUAACCUUAGCAAUUGACGUUAGCGACAGAAGAAGCACCGGCUAACUCCGUGCCAGCAGCCGCGGUAAUACGGAGGGUGCGAGCGUUAAUCGGAAUUACUGGGCGUAAAGGGCACGCAGGCGGUUAAUUAAGUUGGAUGUGAAAUCCCCGGGCUUAACCUGGGAAUGGCAUUCAAGACUGGUUAGCUAGAGUCUUGUAGAGGGGGUAGAAUUCCAUGUGUAGCGGUGAAAUGCGUAGAGAUGUGGAGGAAUACCGGUGGCGAAGGCGGCCCCUGGACAAAGGCUGACGCUCAUGUGCGAAGCGUGGGGAGCAAACGAGGAUUAGACUACC